rnacentral:rRNA from 1 species
CAGCCGCCGCGGUAAUUCGUAGGGUGCGAGCGUUAAUCGGAAUUACUGGGCGUAAAGCGUGCGCAGGCGGUUUUGUAAGACAGAUGUGAAAUCCCCGGGCUUAACCUGGGAACUGCGUUUGUGACUGCAAGACUAGAGUGUGGCAGAGGGGGGUGGAAUUCCACGUGUAGCAGUGAAAUGCGUAGAGAUGUGGAGGAACACCGAUGGCGAAGGCAGCCCCCUGGGUCAACACUGACGCUCAUGCACGAAAGCGUGGGGAGCAAACAGGAUUAGAUACCCUGGUAGUCCACGCCCUAAACGAUGCGAACUAGGUGUUGGGGAAGGAGACUUUCUUAGUACCGCAGCUAACGCGUGAAGUUCGCCGCCUGGGGAGUACGGUCGCAAGAUUAAAACUUAAAGGAAUUGACGG